rnacentral:misc_RNA from 1 species
AAGUCGUAACAAGGUUUCCGUAGGUGAACCUGCGGAAGGAUCAUUACCGAGUUCUCGGGCUUCGGCCCGAAUCUCCCACCCUUUGUGAACAUACCUCUGUUGCUUUGGCGGCUCUUGCCGCGUGGAGGCCCUCAAAAGCCCCCCGCGCUCGCUCGCAGACGAUCCAUCAACUCAGUCAGUAAACGUCGACGUCUGAAAAACAAGUUAAUAAACUAAAA